rnacentral:rRNA from 1 species
ACUCAAAUGAAUUGACGGGGGCCCGCACAAGCAGCGGAGCAUGUGGUUUAAUUCGACGCAACGCGAAGAACCUUACCUGGGCUUGACAUGUACCUGACCUCCCUGGAAACAGGGAUUCUCUUCGGAGUAGGUUCACAGGUGGUGCAUGGCUGUCGUCAGCUCGUGUCGUGAGAUGUUGGGUUAAGUCCCGCAACGAGCGCAACCCCCGUCGUAUGUUGCCAUCCGUUUGGAGGGGACUCAUGCGAGACUGCCGGUGACAAACCGGAGGAAGGCGGGGAUGACGUCAAGUCAUCAUGCCCCUUAUGUCCAGGGCUACACACGUGCUACAUUGGCGCGUACAGAGGGCUGCGAUACCGCGAGGUGGAGCGAAUCCCUUAAAGCGCGUCUCGGUUCGGAUUGUAGGCUGAAACUCGCCUACAUGAAGGUGGAGUUGCUAGUAAUCGCGGAUCAGCAUUGCCGCGGUGAAUACGUUCCCGGGCCUUGCACACACCGCCCGU